ensembl:snRNA U6 U6 spliceosomal RNA
GUGCUCAACUUGGCAGCACAUACACUAAAAUUGGAGCCUUCAGGGAAGAUUAGCAUGGCCCUUGCACAAGGAUGGCGCAGUUCAUGAAGCCGUCCAUAUUAAG